CAUAAAGUUUACAGAUUUAUAAGACUUUAAUUAAUUCUUUAUUAUUUGUGAGUGGAGAUUGGCAACUGUGGAGACUUGAACAGUCUGUCAGAUCACAGGCUCCUGGAGUUGGAGGAAGGUUAACUGCUAAGUGUCUCUCAGAUGGCUAUGGGACAGAUGAAAAGCCGAGUGUAGAGAAAUGAUCAAGCCAGUCCUUUUCUCCUGCUCCUAACAUCACCUAUUAUCCACCUUGCCCUCCGCGCGUGCUGCUGUGCACUGAGCCAGUGGUUUCAAUGCACCUUUUGUAAUGACUUCCCGAAGCCUGCACUGGGGAGCGUACUGAAUAACUCUCCCAUUUAGCACCUUGCCCCCUGCUUGAUUCCCGUCUCCCGGUGAAAUAGAGAUCUAAGUUGAACUCCAAGCAGCCCUCUGGAUUUUAUGCUAGGUGACCUGCGAAGAACCUAUGGGAAGGAAUGGAGUGAUCGCGAAUUUUCAGGCUGAGACCAUAAUGCCGAUUUAAAUGGGUGAGAAGGUUUGUCCUGUGUUCUUACUUAUUCCAUCAACAGAAGCAUUUUAAAUUUUCUUGCAGGACUGAGAAAACACUCUCUGGUUGAGUGACACCUUUAGGAAAACCAAUAUCUCAGUUGAGAGAUUCCAUUGCCAAGAAAGAAAAAGAAAAUCUUAAAAAAAUAAAAUAAAAAGAACAAAAACAAAAUAAA